AUUGAACGCUGGCGGCAUGCCUUACACAUGCAAGUCGAACGGCAGCACGGGAGCUUGCUCCUGGUGGCGAGUGGCGAACGGGUGAGUAAUAUAUCGGAACGUACCCUAGAGUGGGGAUAACGCAGCGAAAGUUGCGCUAAUACCGCAUACGAUCUACGGAUGAAAGUGGGGGAUCGCAAGACCUCAUGCUCAUGGAGCGGCCGAUAUCUGAUUAGCUAGUUGGUGGGGUAAAGGCCUACCAAGGCUUCGAUCAGUAGCUGGUCUGAGAGGACGACCAGCCACACUGGAACUGAGACACGGUCCAGACUCCUACGGGAGGCAGCAGUGGGGGAAUUUUUGGACAAUGGGCGAAAGCCUGAUCCAGCAAUGCCGCGUGAGUGAAGAAGGCCU
rnacentral:rRNA from 1 species